GAGGCUGCUAUAAUUGGUUCUAUCAAGAAAUGGUACUUUCAAUCUUAAAAUCUUAAACUAAUCAGAUUGAUCUGGGAAUAUUUCAGCAAAAAAGCAAAGGGUAAACAGGGGAAAUUUGGUCAACAUGUGCAAUUAUGUCACAGUGGAGGUUGUAGGGGCAAUCGAUCAGUUGUAAAAAUCAAUUUGAAGUCUUUAAUCGGAUGAGGAGGAAAGGAAAAUCGGUCAGAUGAGAAGGAAUGGAAAAUCGAUCGACUGUAAAAAUCGAUUUGAGUAGAUGAGUGUUGAUCGAUCGAACCCAAUAUCAAAUCCAAGAGAGCUUAUGCCGCUUUUGUAACUUGUUAUUUCUUACAGGUAUACUUACAAUUACAUGAAAGUAACUUGUUAUUUCUUACAGGUAUACUAAAAAAAAUACUAUAGUCAAUAAAGUAAAUGUUACAGAACAUAAAACAGAGUAUGAAAGCAUAGGACUACAUCCUUUCAUUUGAAACAUAAUAUUUUUAGCAGAACAAUAUUUUACGAAGAAACUUCAGUACAAGAGGCACCUACCAGAAUUCAAGAUAAAUAUAAUUAGUUACCAUAUGAUUAGAUACUAUAAAAGUAAAACUCCAUUAAAAGUACCAAUUACAGCACCUGAGGGACAUAUGGGUAUGAUCUUUUUUUCAAUUUCAAAGUUGCUAGAGGGAGAUAAUGUAAUUGUUCCUUUCCCUAGGUUCAUUUCACAUUAUAAUUUCGACUAGGGGAUGCUUGACAAUUAUAUUUCACGAUAUGCAUUGCUCGCCAUUCACUCUCUUCACUUCCUCUUCCAAGGUGCGACAUUUAUCUAUACGUUCAAUCUGAAAUCAUAGUGGUUAUCUAAUCUUAAAAAACAAAAUACAAACCCAAAACAACAGCAAAUGUAGUAUAAUGAAGUACUUACCAUCAACAACCAUGUGGAUUAAGAGCACAGGGGCACCACAAAAAGAUAAAUCUGAGUUAGGAGAUGGAAAGAACCAAGAAUGGUGUGGAACAAAACCUGAAGAAAUCGAAAAAUUGAAACAUUCAAACCAAUCCCAUACGUUAGUUCGAAAUCUCAAUAACAACCCAUUAAGUUGAUCAAAAUCAAUAAUUUGAAUCGAUAUUCAAACACAAAGAGGUUUCUUCAUUGAAUAGUGGAUACUUGAAUUACGAUUGAGAGACAUAAGGAGGAUGAGAGAAUAUAAAUGUGUGUGCAGGUAGUAUACAGUAAAUAAUAAAAGCAGAAAGAAAACUGAUAUCAUGCCUUCUUGAUUUGCUUGCAAUUUAAAUACACAAUAGAAGAAUAAAUCACAAAAUCAGAAGUUUUAUGUGUAAAAUCGAACUAAUAAGGGUUGUGAUAGAAACAAAAACUGCAAUAAAAAUAACAACAUAGGCUAUAAUGGUUCGUUAAAAAAAGCAAUAAACAGAAGUAUACCUGUAAAUAUUCUAAAACACGAGGUAAAAUUAGAGGUUCGUUCAACCUUCAUGGGAUAGUACAGUCCAGAUUUUUGAACCUGAAAAAAAAUGUGGUUCUUUAACAUUCUUGAGAAGAAAACCCUAAAAUCAAACCAACUAAAAGAAUGUUAGGAACACUCUUAGAAGACUUCAAGAUUACUUGAGCCCUAGCACAUGAAAUCGAAACCCACACCAAAAUCGGUUAACACAAGGACAAAAAGAAGACUGAAGUUUGAGUUCUUUGGACAUGAAAAAAGACGGUUCGUUCAACAUUCUUUAGAAGAAAACUCAUAAAUCAAACCAAGUAAAAAAACGAAUCGUUCUCCUCUUUAUUCAGUACAAUCUUGGAAGAUUUCAAUAUUUUUUGAGCCCUAGCACUGAAAUCAAAACCCAAACCAAAAUUAGUAAAAUCAGGACAAAAGGAAGGAGAUUUUGUUGCAUAUUCGCUGAUGGGGUUUAACGUACGUAAAUCGAUGGGUGUAACGACUGUCGUGACGAAGGGUGAAGGAUUUGGUCGAGACUUUUGUGGCAUCGUUAAUGGCUUGCGAGAGGAGGAGGGGGAGAGUUUUGUAUCUUCUAUGUGGCUUCCGAAAGGAAGGAUGUGUUUGAACGACGGAAAGAGUAGAAAGAAAGAUUAGGGAAAAUUGUAAAUUACCUUAUUUCCGUAUGCAUACAUACAUUUUAUGUGUUUCUUGAUUCUCAUUGGUUGAAACCUUUUCACACGGAUUACAAAUAGCAAAAUCUUAACCGUUCAUUCUAGAUGCAAAGGUCCAGAACUCAUCUCCUUGUUUUUUAAGACAAUGUCUUAAAUUUUUAAGGGCCCACAUUUAUAAACUCUUUAUAAGAUGGUAUAGAUAUGCCAAAUACAACGCCAUAAAAAGGCCCAAGCCCAUCAUGACCGAAAUGACCAUAGUGAUUUCGGUCCUUACAACCGAAAACAUAAUAAACCCAAUAAUAAAAUACCAUUCUAAGCCCAAG
rnacentral:lncRNA from 1 species